GUGAUCUGCUUUGGCCAAUAAGCUGUGGUGGAAGUGAUGGAGUGCCAGUACUGAGUGAGGCCUUCAAGUGGCUUUGCAGGUUUUUCUCUCCCUCUUAGAACUCUGCCCAGCUACCAUGAAAAUAAGCCCAAAGUAACCUGCUGGAGGAUGAGACACCACGUGGAAGACAGACAAGCCAUGCCACUGCCUGUGGAUGCAUAGCAGGCAGUUGGCUGGAGAGAAAAGAGUAAUUCUGUGGGCAGGCUGGCUGAACGCUGCUCAGGCAGACAGCGUCCCCUGGACAAGUUGGCCAUGGAUUGGGGAGGUGGAGAGAGACCAGGAAGGAGCAGCAGCAUCUCCUGUCUUUGCAGCUGUGGCCUCCCGUAGUUCACUGGAUUAAGUAAAAGCUCUGCAGCAGACUUCAUUUCCAUUGGCUCCCACCUGCUUCCAGCAAUUAGAGGAUCAUUUGGAAUAGGAGAUUUGCAUCUGAAGCCUCAUUCACACCUUCCUGCAAAUGCCCGCAAUCCAUCUCCUUACCUUCUAAGAGGAGGACAUCAAAGGGAGCGUGGAGAGAGGGAAGGCUGGACGGAGUAGACUUUCACCAGGAGGACAGUACUGACGGGACAGAAGGGUCAAAGGGAGAAGGAAGGAGGUGUGGAGAGGUCCUUAAGGGAGAUGGGAGAGCAGCAGAGACCAGGGGCCCCCUGUGCUGUUUGGGUGAGGACCAGGGACGCAGCAGAGCCUGCAGACUGCAUAACACAGGAUCAUGGCUAGUGAGCACAGAAAGUGUGGCUGGUAUGACAGGAAAACUCUACUUUUAAUAUUAUUUAAUUUUAAUUCAAGUGACAACUGAAAAUCUGAAGCAAGAUAAAAAUACUUUCCAUUGAACACAACUUUGAUAUUAUUACAUAUUUCGUACUUUUUAAAUUGUUAAAAUUUGUUUCACCUGGUUGUUUUUGUUUGUUUGUUUGUUUUUGAGGAAGAUUAGCCAUGAGCUAACUACUGCCAGUCCUCCUCUUUUUGCUGAGGAAGACCAGCCCUGAGCUAACAUCCAUGUCCAUCUUCCUCUAUUUUAUACAUGGGACGCCUACCACAGCAUGGCUUUUGCCAGGCGGUGCCAUGUCUGCACCCGGGAUCCAAACUGGUGAACCCCGGGCCGCUGAGAAGUGGAAUGUGUGAAUUUAACCACAGCGCCACGGAGCCAGCCCCCUCACCUGGUUGUUUUUAAUGUGGCUACUAGAAAAUUG
rnacentral:lncRNA from 1 species